GUUUGAUCCUGGCUCAGGACGAACGCUGGCGGCGUGCCUAACACAUGCAAGUCAAGGAGAACGUUUCCUUCGGGAAACUAUUAAACUGGCGCACGGGUGAGUAACACGUGGAUAAUCUGCCCUUAACACAGACAUAACCCAGGGAAACUUGGACUAAUAUCUGAUGAGGCCUCCGGGUCAAAGCUACGGCGGUUAAGGAUGAGUCUGCGUAUGAUUAGCUAGUUGGUAAGGUAAUGGCUUACCAAGGCGACGAUCAUU
rnacentral:rRNA from 1 species